rnacentral:rRNA from 1 species
GACGUAGGUGGCGAACGUUAUCCGGAAUCAUUGGGCGUAAAGAGCGUGUAGGCGGUUCGGUAGGUCCGUUGUGAAAACUCGAGGCUCAACCUCGAGACGCCGAUGGAAACCAUCGAACUAGAGUCCGGAAGAGGAGAGUGGAAUUCCUGGUGUAGCGGUGAAAUGCGCAGAUAUCAGGAAGAACACCCGUGGCUAAGGCGGCUCUCUAGUACGGUACUGACGCUGAGACGCGAAAGCGUGGGGAGCGAACAGG